UACGGAGGGUGCAAGCGUUAAUCGGAAUUACUGGGCGUAAAGCGUGCGUAGUCGGUUAUCUAAGUCGGGUGUGAAAUCCCCGGGCUCAACCUGGGAAUUGCAUUCGAUACUGGAUAGCUAGAGUUCGGCAGAGGGAAGCGGAAUUUCUGGUGUAGCGGUGAAAUGCGUAGAUAUCAGAAGGAACAUCAGUGGCGAAAGCGGCUUCCUGGACCAGAACUGACGAUCAGGCACGAAAGCGUGGGGAGCAAACAGG
rnacentral:rRNA from 1 species